AGCAUUUUAUUUGUGUUGUUUACUAACUUUCUGGUCAUCAUUGCAUGUGCAUUACCUGCUGGUAGCGAUCAGGUAAAGCAAGUGUGG